GACGAACGCUGGCGGCGUGCCUAAUACAUGCAAGUCGAACGCAGUGGGGACGGGUGAUUAACACGUGGGUAACCUCCCCUCAGAGGGGAUAACCCUUGGAAACAGGCGCUAAACCGUUAUUGCUGGAUGGACCCGCGGUGCCUUAGCUAGUUGGUGAGGUAACGGCUCACCAAGGCAACGAUGCAUCGCAGGCCUGAGAGGGUGAUCAGCCACACUGGGACUGAGACACGGCCCAGAAGCCUACGGGAGGCAGCAGUAGGGAAUAUUCGACAAUGGGCGAAAGCCUGACCGAGCAACGCCGCGUGAGUGAAGAAGGUUUGCGGAUCGUAAAGCACUGUUGUUAGGGAAGCGGUAUCUAACCAGAAAGCCACGGCUAACUACGUGCCAGCCGCCGCGGUAAUAC
rnacentral:rRNA from 1 species